CGUGGGUAACCUGCCUGUAAGACUGGGAUAACUCCGGGAAACCGGAGCUAAUACCGGAUAGUUCCUUGAACCGCAUGGUUCAAGGAUGAAAGACGGUUUCGGCUGUCACUUACAGAUGGACCCGCGGCGCAUUAUCUAGUUGGUGGGGUAAUGGCUCACCAAGGCGACGAUGCGUAGCCGACCUGAGAGGGUGAUCGGCCACACUGGGACUGAGACACGGCCCAGACUCCUACGGGAGGCAGCAGUAGGGAAUCUUCCGCAAUGGACGAAAGUCUGACGGAGCAACGCCGCGUGAGUGAUGAAGGUUUUCGGAUCGUAAAGCUCUGUUGUUAGGGAAGAACAAGUGCGAGAGUAACUGCUCGCACCUUGACGGUACCUAACCAGAAAGCCACGGCUAACUACGUGCCAGCAGCCGCGGUAAUACGUAGGUGGCAAGCGUUGUCCGGAAUUAUUGGGCGUAAAGGGCUCGCAGGCGGUUUCUUAAGUCUGAUGUGAAAGCCCCCGGCUCAACCGGGGAGGGUCAUUGGAAACUGGGAAACUUGAGUGCAGAAGAGGAGAGUGGAAUUCCACGUGUAGCGGUGAAAUGCGUAGAGAUGUGGAGGAACACCAGUGGCGAAGGCGACUCUCUGGUCUGUAACUGACGCUGAGGAGCGAAAGCGUGGGGAGCGAACAGGAUUAGAUACCCUGGUAGUCCACGCCGUAAACGAUGAGUGCUAAGUGUUAGGGGGUUUCCGCCCCUUAGUGCUGCAGCUAACGCAUUAAGCACU
rnacentral:rRNA from 1 species